GCGGGAGUGGUGAAAUUGGCAAACACACUAGGCUUAGAACCUAGCGCCGUAAGGUUUGUGGGUUCAAGUCCCUCCUCCCGCA
rnacentral:tRNA from 1 species